rnacentral:rRNA from 1 species
UGGGGAAUAUUGGACAAUGGGCGCAAGCCUGAUCCAGCCAUGCCGCGUGAGUGAUGAAGGCCCUAGGGUUGUAAAGCUCUUUUGUGCGGGAAGAUAAUGACUGUACCGCAAGAAUAAGCCCCGGCUAACUUCGUGCCAGCAGCCGCGGUAAUACGAAGGGGGCUAGCGUUGCUCGGAAUCACUGGGCGUAAAGGGUGCGUAGGCGGGUCUUUAAGUCAGGGGUGAAAUCCUGGAGCUCAACUCCAGAACUGCCUUUGAUACUGAGGAUCUUGAGUUCGGGAGAGGUGAGUGGAACUGCGAGUGUAGAGGUGAAAUUCGUAGAUAUUGGGAAGAACACCGGUGGCGAAGGCGGCCAUCUGGACGGACACUGACGCUGAGGCGCGAAAGCGUGGGGAGCAAACA